rnacentral:tRNA from 1 species
CAGAUAGUAGUUUAAGAAAAAUAUUAGCAUUGGAAGCUAAAGAUUAAAUUUUAAUUUGUUAUCUGA